rnacentral:rRNA from 1 species
AACAGGAUUAGAUACCCUGGUAGUCCAUGCCGUAAACGGUGGGUACUAGGUGUGGGGCUCCUUCCACGGACUCCGUGCCGUAGCUAACGCAUUAAGUACCCCGCCUGGGGAGUACGGCCGCAAGGCUAAAACUCAAAGAAAUUGACGGGGGCCCGCACAAGCGGCGGAGCAUGUGGAUUAAUUCGAUGCAACGCGAAGAACCUUACCUGGGUUUGACAUACACCAGAAAGCCGUAGAGAUACGGCCCCCCUUGUGGUUGGUGUACAGGUGGUGCAUGGCUGUCGUCAGCUCGUGUCGUGAGAUGUUGGGUUAAGUCCCGCAACGAGCGCAACCCUUAUCUUAUGUUGCCAGCGCGUAAUGGCGGGGACUCGUGAGAGACUGCCGGGGUCAACUCGGAGGAAGGUGGGGACGACGUCAAGUCAUCAUGCCCCUUAUGUCCAGGGCUUCACACAUGCUACAAUGGCCGGUACAGAGGGCUGCGAUACCGUGAGGUGGAGCGAAUCCCUUAAAGCCGGUCUCAGUUCGGAUCGGGGUCUGCAACUCGACCCCGUGAAGUUGGAGUCGCUAGUAAUCGCAGAUCAGCAACGCUGCGGUGAAUACGUUCCCGGGCCUUGUACACACCGCCCGUCACGUCAUGAAAGUCGGUAACACCCGAAGCCGGUGGCCUAACCCCUUGUGGGAGGGAGCCGUCGAAGGUGGGAUCGGCGAUUGGGACGAAGUCGUAACAAGGUAACC